GUGGGGAAUAUUGGACAAUGGGGGAAACCCUGAUCCAGCAAUGCCGCGUGAGUGAAGAAGGCCUUAGGGUUGUAAAACUCUUUCAGUCGUGACGAUGAUGACGGUAGCGACAGAAGAAGCCCCGGCUAACUCCGUGCCAGCAGCCGCGGUAAUACGGAGGGGGCUAGCGUUGUUCGGAAUUACUGGGCGUAAAGCGCACGUAGGCGGUACAUCAAGUUAGGCGUGAAAGCCCUGGGCUCAACCCAGGAACUGCGCUUAUUACUGAUGAACUAGAGAGCGGGAGAGGGUAGCGGAAUUCCCAGUGUAGAGGUGAAAUUCGUAGAUAUUGGGAAGAACACCAGUUGCGAAGGCGGCUACCUGGACCGGUACUGACGCUGAGGUGCGAAAGCGUGGGGAGCAAACAGG
rnacentral:rRNA from 1 species